rnacentral:rRNA from 1 species
GACAUUUGGUAGAGACUAUUGAAGCCACCUGGUCCCAGCAGACCUCGGAAGGCAGCCACAUUCACUGGUGUGGGGGCAAGGUCAUUAAGGGUGAAGCCUGGUGCCAGAUGUCU